UACGUAGGGUGCAAGCGUUGUCCGGAAUUAUUGGGCGUAAAGAGCUCGUAGGCGGCCUGUCACGUCGGCUGUGAAAACCCGGGGCUCAACCCCGGGCCUGCAGUCGAUACGGGCAGGCUAGAGUCCGGCAGGGGAGACUGGAAUUCCUGGUGUAGCGGUGAAAUGCGCAGAUAUCAGGAGGAACACCGGUGGCGAAGGCGGGUCUCUGGGCCGGAACUGACGCUAAGGAGCGAAAGCGUGGGGAGCGAACAGG
rnacentral:rRNA from 1 species